GAGGUCUCAAUUCUGUCUUCCUAUACUCACUCUUCCUUUGGAAGUGUCCAUGGUGUAUGUUUGUGUCUAUGCACACAAACAAGGCUGAGAAAAGGAACACCCUACAACUAGAUGGAACCCUAAUCCUGUUCAGCUAAGACUAUAUAGAUCUGUGGGAAUUCUGUUGCUCAGAGAAGGCAAUCCUAACUUUGGGCAGGAGGUCUCUUUGGACCCUUUAACCAAGAGCCAUGCCAAAAUAUCAGCCCUCUGAUUCUCAAACUCUGAUACUGGGAAAAGGUAAGUCUUUUAGAGAAUUAACUAGAUAAAUGCAGUUAUAAAGUACCUAGUACAGUACCUGACAUAUAGUGUCUGCCAUAUAGUAGGUUUCUCCAAAAUGUGAAUGCAUCCUGUCUCUAUGCCUUUCUUCUCUGAUUUUCUUUAAAUACCGGGCAUAUCAUCUAUAACGCUGCUUUCCCAACUUCAGAUUAAGAUGACCAUGGGAACAGUCCCUGUGUGCAUAAGCAGUUGACAGAGGUGGAUGCUAAUUCAAUUAAUAGUAUCCAUAGGCCAGUGAGCAACCAAUGAGGGGACCUGGAGCAAAAGACACUGUCCAAGUGGGUAGAGAGUAACUAGCUAAAUCAAUGUGUCCAUCUCCCUUUUGGGCUGUAGACUGGAAAAUAUGGAGAGUGGCCAGUUAUUACGGGGUAGGAGGAGAGAGAGAGAGAGAUGAAGAGAGAAGAGGAGGCACAAAAGUAGCAGAAUAGGAGUCUGAGAGGGCAUCUGAGUCAAGAUAAGGUGAAGCUGGGGGCUAUGACGUAAGUGACACUCCUUUUCCAGGAAGCAGCAUAUACCUGCCCCCAACCCUGCCCAACAUGCCAAUGCCUACUAGUCCAAAGCCACCUGAGUCCUGGGAGCAGCAUUGCCAUGUGCGAGAGUAGUAGGGGCACUGGCAGGAAUGCACUCCAUUCGUCUCACUGGAUUAAGCAUCUACUGGUCCCAGAUCAGAUUGGCCUGUGUCAGCACCUUUGAGUGAAACACACGCCCCUCUGGCUUAUGUCACUUGCAUAUUUGACAACUCAGCUAUACUUAAGACAGCUCCCCAAAGCCUGCUCUAACCCUCACUGGAGAGCAGGCAGCUCACACUCUGGUGCUACCAUGUGUUACCUGGGCCCUGAGUUAGGAAGAGAGAUUGCCUGUGGUAUCAGAUCAUGCCAUGGGGAUUCUGAGUCCAUGCUGAGUGGGGUUUCUUUUCAGGAUUUCAUUCUGAGAAAGAAUGCAAAGGAAGAAUAUAGAAUUACACUAGCAGCAAAGCAGAAGGACAGAAGGGAAGACAGGAGUCAAGUGGGUUGUCAUAUGAUGAGGUCAGAGUGAAUAGAGCACUAACAAAACUAAGCGAGCAUCAAAUGGAUAUUUGCAAGGUCUAUGUAUGCAUGCAUUCAGAUACAUUUUAUCAUCUUUAUUUUUUAGAAUAUUAUUUCAUUAACUCUAAGUUUUGCAGCUUUUUGGGGUUUCCAAAAUGGGUUACCUCUCCUAAAAACAGUUGUACUUGAUUCAAGAUAUCAAUUAAAUGGGUACUGGAGGCAGCCAUGGCCACAGCCUCUCCUUUUGUUCCCUUUCUUUGUGAGGGCAAGUAUAGGUUGCACUGAUCCUGACCUUUUGGCCUGAGGAUGGAAGUCUUCAGUAUCUGUACAACUUUACUCCCAAGAGCUGGUGUAGAAUGAGUUCCUCUGGCCAUGGGAGGAUCGCAGAGGGGCACCUGCCACCAGCAGCCCAGCCUCAGCACUUUUCUCUUCAGCGUCUUCUUCAAGGUAUUUCCAGUUGCCCGCCCUGAACUGUUUCAGAAUGAGGAGGACACCUGGAGGAAUCUACACGUGCAUAGACCAAUUUGCAAAAGAACCUGUGAGCCAACGUAGGUUGUGAGAUGCAUAUCCCACAUCCAGUUCAGCCCAGUAACUUGGGAAAUGGGGGAGAGGUAGCUCUGAAGACCAGACUUAGUACAUUUUUACCCCCAUC
ensembl:lncRNA AQP4-AS1 AQP4 antisense RNA 1